AUUGAACGCUGGCGGCAUGCCUUACACAUGCAAGUCGAACGGCAGCACGGGAGCUUGCUCCUGGUGGCGAGUGGCGAACGGGUGAGUAAUACAUCGGAACGUACCCUGAAGUGGGGGAUAACGUAGCGAAAGUUACGCUAAUACUGCAUAUUCUGUGAGCAGGAAAGAGGGGGAUCGCAAGACCUCUUGCUUUAGGAGCGGCCGAUGUCGGAUUAGCUAGUUGGUGAGGUAAAGGCUCACCAAGGCGACGAUCCGUAGCGGGUCUGAGAGGAUGAUCCGCCACACUGGGACUGAGACACGGCCCAGACUCCUACGGGAGGCAGCAGUGGGGAAUUUUGGACAAUGGGCGCAAGCCUGAUCCAGCCAUGCCGCGUGAGUGAAGAAGGCC
rnacentral:rRNA from 1 species